rnacentral:rRNA from 1 species
AUCGGUUUGUAAAUGUGUUGUUAGAGAAGAACAAGGAUGAGGAGUAUGUUUCAUCCCUUGCUGUUUUUACCAGAAAGCCAUGGCUAAAUUACUGUGCUCAGCAGCCGCGGUAAUACGAAGUUGCAAGCGUGUCCGAAUUUAUUGGGCGUAAAAGCGAGCGCAAGGCGGUUUUCUUUAAGUUUUGAUGUGAAAGCCCCCGGCUCAACCCGGGGAGGGUCAUGGAAACUUGGGAGACUUGAGUGCAGAGGAGGAGAGUGGAAUUCCCAUGUGUAGCGGGUGAAAUGCGUAGAUAUAUGGAGGAACACCAGUGGCGAAGGCGGCUUUCUGGUCUGUAACUGACGUUGAGGCUCGAAAGCGUGGGGAGCAACCAGGAUUAGAUACCCUGGUAGUCCACGCGGUAAACGAUGAGUGUUAAGUGUUGGAGGGUUUCCGCCUUUCAGUGCUGCAGUUAACGCAUUAAGCAUUCCGCCUGGGGAGUACGACCGCAAGGUUGAAACUCAAAGGAAUUGACGGGGGCCCGCCCAAGCGGUGGAGCAUGUGGUUUAAUUGGAAGCAACGGGAAGAACCUUACCAGGUCUUGACAUCCUUUGACCACUUUAGAGAUAGAGUUUCCCCUUGGGGGGCAAAGUGACAGGUGGUGCAUGGUUGUCGUCAGCUGGUGUCGUGAGAUGUUGGGUUAAGUCCCGCAACGAGCGCAACCCUUAUUGUUAGUUGCCAUCAUUCAGUUGGGCAUUUUAGCAAGACUGCCGGUGCCAAACCGGAGGAAGGUGGGGAGGAGGUCAAAUCAUCAUGCCCCUUAUGACUUGGGUUACACACGUGUUCCAAUGGGAAGUACAACGAGUUGGGAAGUCGGGAGGUUAAGUUAAUUUUUUAAAGUUUUUUUCAGUUCGGAUUGCAGGUUGCAAUUCGCUUGCAGGAAGCCGGAAUCGUUAGUAAUCGGGGAUCAGCACGCCGCGGUGAAUACGUUCCCGGCCCUUGUACACACCGCCCGUCACACCACGAGAGUUUGUAACACCGGAAGUCGGUGAGGUAACCUUUGGAGCCAGCCGCC